rnacentral:rRNA from 1 species
CAGCAGCCACGGUAAUACGAAGGGGGCUAGCGUUGUUCGGAAUCACUGGGCGUAAAGGGUGCGCAGGCUGGUUCUUAAGUCAGGGGUGAAAUCCCGAGGCUCAACCUCAGAACGGCCUUUGAUACUGGGGAUCUUGAGUCCGGAAGAGGUGAGUGGAACUGCGAGUGUAGAGGUGAAAUUCGUAGAUAUUCGCAAGAACACCGGUGGCGAAGGCGGCUCACUGGUCCGGAACUGACGCUGAGGCACGACAGCGUGGGGAGCAAACAGGAUUAGAUACCCCAGUAGUCCCUGUCUCUUAUAC